rnacentral:rRNA from 1 species
AUUGAACGCUGGCGGCAGGCCUAACACAUGCAAGUCGAAAGAGUGGCGGACGGGUGAGUAAUGUCUGGGAAACUGCCCGAUGGAGGGGGAUAACUACUGGAAACGGUAGCUAAUACAGCAUACCAUCGGAUGUGCCCAGAUGGGAGUAGCGAGCGGGUGGGGUAACGGCUCACCUAGGCGACGAUCCCUAGCUGGUCUGAGAGGAUGACCAGCACCACUGGAACUGAGACACGGUCCAGACUCCUACGGGAGGCAGCAGUGGGGAAUAUUGCACAAUGGGCUCAAGCCUGAUGCAGCCAUGCCGCGUGUAUGAAGAAGGCCUUCGGGUUGUAAAGUACUUUCAGCGAGGAGGCGUUACUCGCAGAAGAAGCACCGGCUAACUCCGUGCCAGCAGCCGCGGUAAUAC